AUUGAACGCUGGCGGCAGGCUUAACACAUGCAAGUCGAGCGAGCGGCGGACGGGUGAGUAAUGUCUGGGAAACUGCCUGAUGGAGGGGGAUAACUACUGGAAACGGUAGCUAAUACCGCAUACCAUCAGAUGUGCCCAGAUGGGAUUGGCUUGUUGGGGGGGUAACGGCUCACCAAGGCGACGAUCCCUAGCUGGUCUGAGAGGAUGACCAGCCACCCUGGAACGGAGCCGGGGUCCAGACGCCUACGGUAGGCAGCAGAGGGUAAUAUUGCGCAGUGGGCGGAAGCCUGAUGCAGCCAUGCCGCGUGUAUGAAGGAGGCCUUCGGGUUGGAAAGUACUUUCAGCGGGGAGGCGUUACCCGCAGAAGAAGCACCGGCUAACUCCGUGCCAGCAGCCGCGGUAAUAC
rnacentral:rRNA from 1 species